CCUAUGUGAUGAUGGGCUCUGUGCAUUUCUUCCCAACUCUGUGUUCCAUGAUGUCACGUUGGUAGCUUGAGAUUGGCCACGGUGCAAGUAUUUACAGCAUGGAAAUCAACAAAUGCUGCAAAUCAUGGCACAUUUUCCUCAGACCUGGUUCUUAUGUGCUUACCAGGACACCACUGCCUCCCAUUCUCUUCUUCCUACUAGGUAGACCCAGAACCCAGCCCAUCAAUGACACUUUUCUUUCAGAGUCAACAAAUAAAUCUAAUCCCUGAUGCUGCAUUAUGGCCAGAAAACCAGUGAACUUUCGGAGAAGAAAAAAGAAAGACUUGUUCUACCGUAUAUGAGCAUGUGCAAACUUUAAUAUCUUUUAUGGCAUUCUCAGAAGAAAGGAUUAGAUCAUUUGAACAAAAAGAGCUACAGAAGAGACCCAUAUGAA
rnacentral:lncRNA from 10 species